CAGUAGGUAGUUUAUAAAAAUAUUAAUUUUGGGGAUUAAUGAUGAGGAGUUGCUUCCUUUUUACUGA
rnacentral:tRNA from 1 species